rnacentral:rRNA from 1 species
CACGUAUUUAGCCGUCACUUCUUCUGUUGGUACCGUCAUUUCUUUCUUCCCAACUGAAAGCACUUUACAUUCCGAAAAAACUUCAUCGUGCACACAGAAUUGCUGGAUCAGACUCUCGGUCCAUUGUCCAAUAUUCCCCACUGCUGCCUCCCGUAGGAGUAAGGGCCGUGUCUCAGUCCCCUUGUGGCCGUUCACCCUCUCAGGCCGGCUACCCAUCAUCGCCUUGGUGAGCUGUUACCUCUCCAACUAGCUAAUGGGACGCAAAGCUCUCUCACAGUGCUUAUAGCUUUCAUAAUUCUAAGAUGACCUUAAAUCAUAAUAUCAGGUAUUAGCUAUUCAUUUCUAAAUUGUUCGUCCCUAGCUGUGAGGCAAGUUCUUACGCGUUACUCACCCGUCGCCACCAAAUCUAAACGUUAAAAACCCAAUUACCAAGUUGACUUGACCAGUUGUAGUUAAGCUAUUCUGUCUAGCCGUUCAUCCUGACGCCAGGACUC